UCGCAGUAUGACGAAAAGCUGACAGUUCUUAGGUCUGAAAGAAAGUGGUUUUUAAGAAUUAGACACGGCGGAUAAAAUGCAAAUAACUUUUUUGUUCUUUUAUUUUCAAUGCGUAUACCAAGGAUAUAUUUAAAAUUCUUAUUCGGACGAAUUUGCCACAAAUUACCCUUGUGGGAGACUGAACUCAAACCUCAGACACGCCAGACUUGAGUUCAGGGGGCACAGGGAGUAUUUGAGAAGCCAGACAGGACUGCGGAAGCAGAGGAUUUUGAGGAGGCCUGAGCGAGUUGUGUGCCCACUGUCUACCACACGUUUGGGGGCCAAAAGUGACGCCUUCAUGCCAUUCAGCAGGCUGUGGGCGGUUUAUCCAACACAUUUCGCCAUGGAAACCCUCGAGAAGAGCUGCAGUACCAGGACUGGUGUCACCUUGCACACUCGCCACAAAGGAAGGCUCUUUCACUUAAUACUCAGUUGAGGGGGAAAAGAGAGAAAACAAAAGGAGAGCAAUGGCUUAAUCCUAAGAACUUCUGUCUAAAGUCGAGCGCU